rnacentral:rRNA from 1 species
UACGAAGGGGGCUAGCGUUGCUCGGAAUCACUGGGCGUAAAGCGCACGUAGGCGGGUCCUUAAGUCGGGGGUGAAAUCCCGGAGCUCAACUCCGGAACUGCCUUUGAUACUGGGGAUCUUGAGUCCGGAAGAGGUGAGUGGAACUCCGAGUGUAGAGGUGAAAUUCGUAGAUAUUCGGAAGAACACCAGUGGCGAAGGCGGCUCACUGGUCCGAUACUGACGCUGAGGCACGAAAGCGUGGGGAGCAAACAGG